rnacentral:rRNA from 1 species
ACCGUUCCGUAAGCCUGUGAAGGGAGACCCGUGAGGGCUCCUGGAGGUAUCGGAAGUGCGAAUGUUGACAUGAGUAACGAUAAAGGGAGUGAGAGACUCCCUCGCCGAAAGACCCAGGGUUCCUGCUUAAAGUUAAUCUGAGCAGGGUUAGCCGGCCCCUAAGGCGAGGCCGAAAGGCGUAGUCGAUGGGAACCACGUUAAUAAUCGUGGGCCUGGUGGUAGUGACGGAUCUCGUGUGUUGUAUCUCCUUAUUGGAUUGGAGGUGCAGCGAAGAGGUUCCAGGAAAUAGCUCCACCGUAUAGACCGUACCCGAAACCGACACAGGUGGUCAGGUAAAGAAUACCAAGGCGCUUGAGAAAACUGCGUUGAAGGAACUCGGCAAAUUGCACGCGUAACUUCGGAAGAAGCGUGACCCUUUUCUGCGCAAGCAGAUGAGGGUGGCACAGACCAGGGGGUAGCGACUGUUUAUCAAAAACACAGGGCUCUGCGAAGUCGCAAGACGACGUAUAGGGCCUGACGCCUGCCCGGUGCCGGAAGGUUAAGAGGAGAGGUGCAAGCUUUGAAUCGAAGCCCCGGUAAACGGCGGCCGUAACUAUAUCGGUCCUAAGGUAGCGAAAUUCCUUGUCGGGUAAGUUCCGACCUGCAUGAAUGGCGUAACGACUUCCCCGCUGUCUCCAACGCAGAUUCACUGAAAUUGAAUUCCCCGUGAAGAUGUGGGGUUCCUGCGGUCAGACGGAAAGACCCCGUGCACCUUUUACUAUAGCUUUACACUGGCAUUUCGCCAAGGCAUGUGUAGGAUAGGUGGUAGGCUUUGAAGCGUGGGCGCCAGCUCGCGUGGAGCCAUCCUUGAAAUACCACCCUUAUCUUCGCGGAUGUCUAACCGCGGCCCGUUAUCCGGGUCCGGGACAGUGUAUGGUGGGUAGUUUGACUGGGGCGGUCGCCUCCGAAAGAGUAACGGAGGCGCGCGAAGGUAGGCUCAGACCGGUCGGAAAUCGGUCGUCGAGUGCAAUGGCAUAAGCCUGCCUGACUGCGAGACUGACAAGUCGAGCAGAGACGAAACUCGGUCAUAGUGAUCCGGUGGUCCCGCGUGGAAGGGCCAUCGCUCAACGGAUAAAAGGUACGCCGGGGAUAACAGGCUG